rnacentral:rRNA from 1 species
ACUCCUACGGGAGGCAGCAGUAAGGAAUAUUGCGCAAUGGACGAAAGUCUGACGCAGCGACGCCGCGUGGGGGAUGAAGGUCUUCGGAUUGUAAACCCCUUUCGGCAGGGAAGAUGGAACGGGCAACCGUUCGGACGGUACCUGCAGAAGCAGCCACGGCUAACUUCGUGCCAGCAGCCGCGGUAAUACGAAGGUGGCAAGCGUUGUUCGGAUUCACUGGGCGUACAGGGAGCGUAGGCGGUUAGGUAAGCCCUCCGUGAAAUCUCCGGGCCUAACCCGGAACAGUCGGAGGGGACUGCCGGGCUAGAGGACGGGAGAGGAGCGCGGAAUUCCCG